rnacentral:hammerhead_ribozyme from 1 species
AUACUGCUGACGAGUCCCAAACAGGACGAA